GACGAACGCUGGCGGCAUGCCUAAUACAUGCAAGUCGAGCGAACAGAUGAAGUGCUUGCACAUCUGACGUUAGCGGCGAACGGGUGAGUAACACGUAAGGAAUCUACCUAUAAGCGGGGGAUAACAUUUGGAAACGGGUGCUAAUACCGCAUAAUAUCUUCUUCCGCAUGGAAGAAGAUUGAAAGACGGCUCUGCUGUCACUUAUAGAUGACCUUGCGGUGCAUUAGUUAGUUGGUGGGGUAACGGCCUACCAAGACGAUGAUGCAUAGCCGCACCGGGAGGGUGGUCGGCCACAUUGGGACUUAGACACGGCCCAAACUCCGACGGGAGGCAGCAGUAGGGAAUCUUCCGCAAUGGGCGAAAGCCUGACGGAGCAAUGCCGCGUGAGUGAAGAAGGCCUUCGGGUCGUAAAACUCUGUUAUAAGGGAAGAACAAAUUGUAGAGUAACUGCUACAGUCUUGACGGUAUCUUAUCAGAAAGCCACGGCUAACUACGUGCCAGCCGCCGCGGUAA
rnacentral:rRNA from 1 species